rnacentral:rRNA from 1 species
UACGUAGGGUGCAAGCGUUGUCCGGAAUUAUUGGGCGUAAAGAGCUCGUAGGCGGUCUGUCGCGUCGAAUGUGAAAACCCGGGGCUCAACCCCGGGCCUGCAUUCGAUACGGGCAGACUAGAGUUCGGUAGGGGAGUCUGGAAUUCCUGGUGUAGCGGUGAAAUGCGCAGAUAUCAGGAGGAACACCGGUGGCGAAGGCGGUUCUCUGGGCAUUACCUGACGCUGAGGAGCGAAAGUGUGGGGAGCGAACAGG